AGCAGCGUUGCGCAGCGGAAGCGUGCUGGGCCCAUAACCCAGAGGUCCCUGGAUCGAAACCAGCCGCUGCUA
rnacentral:tRNA from 1 species